ACACUCCUACGGGAGGCAGCAGUGGGGAAUAUUGGACAAUGGGCGCAAGCCUGAUCCAGCCAUGCCGCGUGAGUGAUGAAGGCCCUAGGGUUGUAAAGCUCUUUCACCGGUGAAGAUAAUGACGGUAACCGGAGAAGAAGCCCCGGCUAACUUCGUGCCAGCAGCCGCGGUAAUACGAAGGGGGCUCGCGUUGUUCGGAUUUACUGGGCGUAAAGCGCACGUAGGCGGACUAUUAAGUCAGGGGUGAAAUCCCGGGGCUCAACCCCGGAACUGCCUUUGAUACUGGUAGUCUUGAGUUCGAGAGAGGUGAGUGGAAUUCCGAGUGUAGAGGUGAAAUUCGUAGAUAUUCGGAGGAACACCAGUGGCGAAGGCGGCUCACUGGCUCGAUACUGACGCUUAGGUGCGAAAGCGUGGGGAGCAAACAGGAAUAGAAACCCAGUAGUCCCAUGAU
rnacentral:rRNA from 1 species